rnacentral:rRNA from 1 species
GUACGAGUCGGUAAGGCCCUAUCGGGGUACACGAGCGGCGAACGGGUGGAGUAACACGUGGAGUGAUCUGCCCUGCACUUCGGGAUAAGCCUGGGUAAACUGGGUCUAAUACCGGAUAUGACCUUCGGCUGCAUGGCUGAGGGUGGACAAGGUUUACUGGUGCAGGAUGGGCCCGCGGCCUAUCAGCUUGUUGGUGGGGUAAUGGCCUACCAAGGCGACGACGGGUAGCCGACCUGAGAGGGUGACCGGCCACACUGGGACUGAGACACGGCCCAGACUCCUACGGGAGGCAGCAGUGGGCGAAUAUUGCACAAUGGGCGAAAGCCUGAUGCAGCGACGCCGCGUGAGGGAUGACGGCCUUCGGGUUGUAAACCUCUUUCAGCAGGGACGACAGCGAAAGUGACGGUACCUGCAAAGAAGCACCGGCCAACUACGUGCCAGCAGCCGCGGUACAUACGUAGGGUGCAAGCGUUGUCCGGUAAUUACUGGGCGUAAAGAGCUCGUAGGCGGUUUGUCGCGUCGUCUGCUGAAAACUCGAGGCUCAACCUCGAGCUUGCAGGCGAUACGGGCAGACUUGAGUACUGCAGGCGGAGACUGGAAUUCCUGGUGUAGCGGUGAAUAUGCGCAGAUAUCAGGAGGCAACACCGGUGGCGAAGGCGGGUCUCUGGGCAGUAACUGACGCUGAGGAGCGAAAGCGUGGGUAGCGAACAGGAUUAGAUACCCUGGUAGUCCACGCCGUAAACGGUGGGCGCUAGGUGUGGGUUUCCUUCCACGGGAUCCGUGCCGUAGCUAACGCAUUAAGCGCCGCCGCCGGGGAGUACGGCCGCAAGGCUAAAACUCAAAGGAAUUGACGGGUGGCCCGCACAAGCGGCGGAGCAUGUGGAUUAAUUCGAUGCAACGCGAAGAACCUUACCUGGGUUUGACAUAUACCGGAAAGCCGUAGAGAUACGGCCCGCCCUUGUGGUCGGUAUACAGGUGGUGCAUGGCUGUCGUCAGCUCGUGUCGUGAGAUGUUGGCGUUAAGUCCCGCAACGAGCGCAACCGCUUGUCUGUAUGUUGCCAGCACGUAAUGGUUGGGGACUCGUAAGAGACUGCCGGGGUCAACUCGGAGCGAAGGUGGGGACGACGUCAAGUCAUCAUGCCCCUUAUGGUCCAGGGCUUCACACAUGCUACAAUGGCCGGUACAGAGUGGCUGCGAUACCGUGAGGUGGAGCGAAUCCCUUAAAGCCGGUCUCAGUUCGGAUCGGGGUCUGCAACUCGACCCCGUGAAGUCGGAGUCGCUAGUAAUCGCAGAUCAGCAACGCUGCGGUGAAUACGUUCGCCGGGCCUUGUACACACCGCCCGUCACGUCAUGAAUAGUCGGUAACACCCGAAGCCGGUGGCCUAACCCCUUGUGGGAGGCGAGCCGUCGAAGGUGGAGAUCGGCUGACAU